ACGGAAGGCAGCAGUGAGGAAUAUUGGUCAAUGGACGGAAGUCUGAGCCAGCCAAGUCGCGUGAAGGAUGAAGGUAUUAUGUAUUGUAAACUUCUUCAGCAGUGGAGUAAUAAGGGGAUCGCGAUCCCUGAUGCAAGUACACUGAGAAUAAGGAUCGGCUAACUCCGUGCCAGCAGCCGCGGUAAUACGGAGGAUCCGAGCGUUAUCCGGAUUUAUUGGGUUUAAAGGGUGCGCAGGCGGCUUUUUAAGUCAGUGGUUAAAUCGUGACGCUCAACGUCAUCACGCCAUUGAUACUGGAGAGCUUGAUUGCGGUCGAGGUUUGCGGAAUUCGUUGUGUAGCGGUGAAAUGCAUAGAUAUGACGAAGAACACCGAUUGCGUAGGCAGCAGACCAGGCCGUAAAUGACGCUCAUGCACGAAAGUGCGGGGAUCGAACAGGAUUAGAUACCCUGGUA
rnacentral:rRNA from 1 species